GAACGCGCUGCCGAGACCGCUGGGAAACAGCGCCUAGCAAUACGCAGGCGCAGACUCUUGGCCGGUGGCCGAAGGUGAAUAGACUCCAGCUCCAAUGGAUUGGGACCUGGGAAAGAAAAAAGUCAGAGACAAGAUGAAGCCAACAUGACUGAUACUACUAUAAUUUAGCCUUUGCUGUUUUAGAAAUUGUCUGUUUUCUAAAGAGGAGUGCAAAGGAAAAACUGAUCUUCUCUUGCAGAUCUCAAAAUCAUGGCUCAGGUGAGGUGAUGGUUCCUUUCUGAAACU
rnacentral:lncRNA from 1 species